CGCGAUGAUAUUUCAGCUCGAACGUUCUACACUAGAAGAGUGAUCUUUCAGACAGCGAUCAAGAAGAAUGGACCGCUACUAACAACGCUGCGCCUGAUGACGAUGAGCCGGAUUUCUUCUGCAGCAGUGCAUCAUCCUACUCAACUUCUGGAAGGGACUGGGAAAAGGAUUUGCUGCAGGUGUGCCACCCAGACUUGUCCGGGACUUUUAGUGAGCCGGAUGACCAUGAGACCCCUGGAGUUGUUUCGGAAGCUGCUCACGAACGACAUGUUAGAGAUGCUAGUUCAACAAACAAAUCUCUACAGCACGCAAAA
rnacentral:lncRNA from 1 species